UAUUCAAGAUGUUGCUGUCAACAAGAUCGAAACUUAAAGAGUUCAAGGGCUGGAAUUUUAUUGAUUGUUUAUAGCAGCGACGACGGUGGAGCUGUGCUUUGGGAGUCGGGAAAUGGAAAUGGUGUGCUGCUAGACUUUGCAAGAAGACGGAAGAAAGCUAUGUAUCUGACAGCGAAGUAGAAAUGGAUGUUAUUGGCUGAGAGUAAUCUGCUCCGGAAAUUGGGUCCUCAGGUCGGCUGUACUUGGCCUUAAUUGUGUGUCAUGGAAAUAAAUCAGCUCCAUGGAACUGGUGUUGGAAGGGUACUCAAUUGAACUGGUACAGGUGCGUGUGUUAUUUGAAUCUGUUCUGGAAAUUCAUAAUAGCUACUGCAGCCGGUGCAAGGAGAGACAUAAGGUCAGGGAAUGGGAAGUUAUUGCCGUGGCCAAGUUCGAGAUGGUUUUAAGUGGGACGGACAGAAGAUUGGUGUUGGCUGCCAUAUUAGCUGAUGGUUUUCGAAUUCAGGCGACAACAGCAGCGACAAUACACAACAGAUUUUGGGGUAUUCUCGCAGGAUUGAGAUUGGGGGUACGAUCUGUGGUGUUUUCGGAAAUGAAGCAGCAACAAGAUGGUUGUUGCUGUGGCCGACCCUGGAUGAGUUGCUACUUGCUACUACCGGUCGAGAAGGUUCAGAAUGGAAAGUGGUGCUGCACGGCAACAGAACAAUGGAGAUGGAAUCGAUCUUCUACUUAAACUGAAGGCAAUAGUGAUGUUUUCUGUACCUCGAAUGGGUUUGUGCCGCUGGUGGUUUAUCAUACUGUCCGCAAUUGGUUCUGAUGGUUGUUGUUCUUUAUAAAAUGGUUCAAGUGAAUGUUCUUGAUUAAGAAUUUGGCAGCAGCAAGGUUCUCAUCUUAAGCUAAACUAGGUCUGAAGGGUAUUUCUCAACUGAGAAAUGAAUUACAACAACCACAAUUGAUUUCGGGAAUUGGUCUGAAUCGUUGGUUCGGUGAGAAUUUCUGGUGCUGGAUGGUGGGAAGAUAAGCAGUGACGAGGUGUGUUUCUGGCCGAUUAGUGGAGUUGUAGCCAACGGUAGCCAGGUGGCCAGAGAUGGGCAGUCACUGGAUUUUGAAGGUUUAUUUGAAGCUGCAAAGACAGGGAAAUCUCCCCUCCUUUAAAACACUAAGUCAUAUGAGCAUAACAUGAAUAAAUUAUGGAGAUUGAAUCAAAGAUAAAAUAUAAAGUGAGGGUUUAACUCUUUAGUGAUUUGGAGAGGAAAACCAACAAUGUAGACGCUAAGAUAAAACUCCAGCUCGAUUCUGUUUGAAGAAUGUUUGGCGACCAACACAAAUUAAGAUGCAAAAUGGCAGGAAGUCAGGAACAAAUGGAGUACGUGAUGGCUUCCGAUGUAACAUCAUUUAUGGAAUCCUAACCGAAUUGGGUUAGUGUCUCUAUAUCUAAUGUUUGUUGCUUUGGAAGCAUCUAUGCUUAGAUGUACCAAUACUAACCCAAUAUUCGUUGGAAAAAGAAAGACCACACGACCAAUUAUAUGUAUGUUAGGGGCUGGGUAAGUUGACAACACGACCAAUUAGUGUGCUUAAUUUAUUUUUUGAAUUAUGUAUUUGAUGUUAGUUUAGGGAACCUCUUAGCAUGAUUGAUAUAUGGAAUGGCAUGAGAUUUUUAUAGAAAGAUUAAACGACAUCUUUGUCUUGAUCUAGCGUUUUAGAAUUGAAUGUGACAUGCAUAACAAACAGUUCUUCGUGAAUCAAUCUCUUUUACUGACUGUUUUAGAUUGUAGGCCACAAGAGUUUGAUUGAAAGUCUGGGUUCUCCGGUAAAACGAACAACUUUUUUAGUAUUUUGCAUUUCAGACAAGUUUAUCUACUCAUAAACCUACAGUUUUCGGAAUUUUGAACUUCCCAAAGUGAAUAGUGGGGUAAAUUUUUACUACUACUAUUAGUGUUCCAAAUUCGAAACCGAAGUUGGAGGUCGCGCACCCAGGUAAUGAAGUUGUAACUUUAAGUACCUUCCAUAUUCUAUCUACAUAUUUAUCUCCAUAUAUAUAGAAGGAAUUUUUGUGUGCGUAUGUUGUACCUGUUGGCUUUGAAUUUCAAGAUCAAAUAGUAUCCAACCAUCAACUUCGUUAUAUCUGUUUAUUAUGCUUCUUGAACUUAUUAUGAAGCUCUCAAAGCAAGAACAAUUAUGUCUUUUUUCCCCCUAAUAGUUUGUAUAUGCCAACCAUCAGCUUGGUUUUCUGUACUACCAACCCAUCUCUUGCCCCCGAAUCCCUGAUUUCAGCUCAUUUUGUACACUGAUGAUUUUCUUUUUGUACACAGGUGAUACUGUCAUUCGAUGUAAGGAUACAUGAAUGGCAGAAAGGAGAAGAAGAGGAGUGUUAGCUAUGGUCCCACAAUUCUGAAACUAAACAACAAAGUAAAUUGUUAUCAACAAAAGGAAAUAAGACACCGGUCAAAGGACGAAAGGCGAUGAUGUAACUAAGUUUUUGUUUUAUGGCAUUCAACAAUUUCAUAAGUGCCAACGACAAUACCAUGGAUGCUCAUAAUACCAAAUUUUUUGUAAAAAUGCAUCAAGGCGGGGCGAGGCAAAGCCAGCCACACCAAAUCAAAAAUUCUAUACAUGCAUCGGGACGGGUCGAGGCGAAGCCGAGUCAUACCAAAUCAAAAAUCCCAAGCAUGCAUUGGGACGAGUCAAAUCAAAAAUACUAAGCAUGCAUCGGGAUCAAAGAUGCAUCCCUACGGGGUGAGCCUACCAAAUCAAAAAUGCAUGACGGGACGAGGCGAAGUUAAAAAAAAAAAUGAUGGUGCAUGAAUUUCGGGUCCGCCCGAUGCGUAGCACGGGCACAAAAUCUAGUUGAGAUGGUCAGAGAAGUUGCAAAGUCGCGGCUGAUGGUUAGAAGUUGGACUUCGGUAGUGGGCCUGAAUGUGGUGGGUAUUGGUCCAGGCCUUGGAAAUUCUGCUCGGGGAAAUUAGGGGGAGACCCAAAAAAAAAUAUUCUCAUUGUCAGGCCCACAAUUAAUUUUGGGUACCGUGACACCCAUAAUUAUUUCCGUGACACCCAUAAUUAUAU